rnacentral:misc_RNA from 1 species
GAAGAAGAGACACCAAUAUCCCUUUGCUCUUCUGGUUACGAUCCGAGGUAUACCUUGAAAUAAGGGGUGUAUGAUAUUUAAAAAUAUGUAUAAUAUCGAUGGUGUUGUCUUGUGAUGCUCUGGAAAGAAUUGGAAAGGAAAUAACGAAUACUUGUUACGAAUUACAUCUAAGAUCGAUUAAUGUGAAAAUGAAGAAGAAACUUCUACAUCUUGCUAAAUAUUCCAAUCAGAUGCGACCUAUUUUUUCCGCCGCUGGAUUUUUUGACAUCAAUCAGUGUGUUUUGAAUGCGAUAUUCGCAACUAUUAUGAAUUUCUCUGUGACGCUUAUACAGUUCAAUAUGGUAUUGUCGAAGUAGUUUUGUAUUGUAUUUUACAAAUUCUGUCGUUACAUGCUUACAAAAAUCAAAUGUAUCUCUUUCAUUCGUGCAUUUUAAAGCUCCAAUAAUAUCAUGCAACUUUGUAAAUCUAAUACAUGCAAUAUAUAACUA